rnacentral:rRNA from 1 species
GGAUGAACGUUGGCGGUGUGCCUAAUACAUGCAAGUCGAACGGAGCUAAUAGCAAUAUUGGCUCAGUGGCGAACGGGUGAGUAACGCGUUGGUGAUCUGCCUUGAAGUGUGGAAUAACGUUUCGAAAGGAACGCUAAUACCGCAUGUGCUCUCGAUUUUCAGAAAGUUGAGAGUAAAGGAUUUAUUCGCUUCAAGAGGAGCCUGCGUCCCAUCAGCUGGUUGGUAGGGUAACGGCCUACCAAGGCUAUGACGGGUAGGGGACCUGAGAGGGUGGCCCCCCACACUGGCACUGAAACACGGGCCAGACACCUACGGGUGGCAGCAGUAGGGAAUAUUGGACAAUGGGCGAAAGCCUGAUCCAGCAACGCCGCGUGCGCGAUGAAGGCCUUCGGGUUGUAAAGCGCUUUUAGGGGAGAUGAGAAAGGACAGUAUCCUCUGAAUAAGCCUCGGCGAACUACGUGCCAGCAGUCGCGGUAAAACGUAGGAGGCAAGCGUUAUCCGGAUUUAUUGGGCGUAAAGCGCGUGCAGGCGGUUUGAUAAGUUGGAUGUGAAAUCUCCCGGCUCAACUGGGAGCGGUCAUUCAAAACUAUCAGACUAGAGGAUGGGAGAGGGAGGUGGAAUUCCGGGUGUAGUGGUGAAAUACGUAGAUAUCCGGAGGAACACCAGUGGCGAAGGCGGCCUCCUAGACCAUUCCUGACGCUAAGACGCGAAAGCUAGGGGAGCAAACGGGAUUAGAGACCCCGGUAGUCCUAGCCGUAAACGAUGUAGACUUGGCGUUGGCGGAGUUAAAUCUGUCAGUGCCGGAGCUAACGCGUGAAGUCUACCGCCUGGGGACUACGACCGCAAGGUUAAAACUCAAAGGAAUUGACGGGGACCCGCACAAGCAGCGGAGCGUGUGGUUUAAUUCGAUGCUACACGAAGAACCUUACCAGGGUUUGACAUGCAAGUGGUAGUGAUCUGAAAAGUGAACGACCCUUCGGGGAGCUUGCACAGGUGCUGCAUGGCUGUCGUCAGCUCGUGUCGUGAGAUGUUCGGUUAAGUCCGCUAACGAGCGCAACCCUCGCUGUGUGUUAUAUAUGUCACACGGGACUGCCGGUUUUAAGCCGGAGGAAGGCGGGGAUGACGUCAAGUCAGCAUGGCCUUUAUAUCCUGGGCUACACACACGCUACAAUGGUCUGUACAAUUGGUUGCCAAGCCGCGAGGCGGAGCCAAUCCGUAAAGCAGGCCUCAGUUCAGAUUGUAGGCUGCAACUCGCCUGCAUGAAGAUGGAGUUGCUAGUAACCGCAGGUCAGCUAUACUGCGGUGAAUACGUUCCCGGGUCU